AUAGGUACAUAUUCAAGUCAUUCAGGUCAAAUUUUGCGCAGGUACCUUACUUAUCUUUUCACAUAUGUAUUUGUUCCCUCUAUCAGCACAUGUGAAAAAUAUCAAAAUAGACGCAAAAUUUCCAGUCUGACUGAAAUAGUACAAGAAGUUUGAUCUCAGAUUGUUUUUAUCCCUCCACCAGAAUGUACACAGAAGUAAUGUUGUAUGUUUGUGCGAUGAUGUGUAUGCUUUUAAUUAUCAACAUAUAUGUCAAUGCGGUAUACGAAAGAUAUGUGUAUAGAUUCAUAGACAGGGAUGCUCCAUGAAGGAUGCCUAAUCGGCAAUAAUAAAUCAAUAACUAAUGUUUAUAUGUCAGGUGGCCAAUGUCUGGAAGUAGAAGGUGAUUUAGAAUUUUCUAAGGUUUAAUAAUGUAAUGUACAUAGUUAUCUACUAAACAACUGUAAAUUUUACUAUUUGCCUUUUGUUUAAAUAGAAAUAAAUAACAAUAAUUUUAUGUAAAA